rnacentral:lncRNA from 1 species
AUGGAAGAGCAGCAGGGGUCAUUAGUCAGGGGUGGGGGACAAGCCCCAGCAGUCUUUGCUUGGCAUCUCAGAUUUGAGCCCCCCAGCAGGCAGCAAACCUCUGCUGACAAGAGGUCAGGUCAGCAGAUGGGUGCUUCUGUGCCCUGCAGCAGGGAGUGCUCAGCGCCGCGCUCGGCCGCCGCACAAACCAAAGCAAAGGAGGAGAGAAGUUGCCGUGAGGAAAUSCCCACAGCUCCCUCUGCCCCAAUGCCCAGAGACAGCUCAGCGCCCCCCACACUACCGCAGGCCGAUGACGGUGCUGGGCCCCCCGCCAGCACGCCGGCUGCCCAGCAGGACACCAAGCCUGCAGCCAGGGCAGCCUCCCUCAACGCCGACCAGAACACGGAACACAGAAUAUGGAACUCGCUGCCACCCCGCGCAACGCUGACAAUGGCCUCAGCAACAGGCACCAUCUCCCCAGCAAGAGGGACAAGCACCCCAGCCCCAGACGCACCCACCCCACCACUGGCACGCCAACAAGCAUGGCACAAGGGCUGCGCACAGGCACAAGGCCCCGCUCACAAACCCGGACACUGCUCCCGCCUCACCACACCUCUAUAGUCCUCUCCAGCACUUGAGAUUUGCUCUUGCAGAGAAGUUGUCUUCAGCCCCUCCUCUUUUCUUGCGUGCCUAGUCCAGAAAACAAUAGCUGGCUUUUGGCACUUACUCUUUUUUACAAGCUGACACCUUGCCUCCUCAGACAUUGGCACAAAAAUCACCCUSCCCCUGACAAGGUUCACACACCAUCAAGGAAGCAGCCACAACUUCUCUUGGGCCCCUCCGGCUUUCUUGCAUGCCUACUCCAGUYAAACAAGAACUGUAACGCUGAGGUUCAGUGUUUUGCAAUGAUGUUCGUCCUUCAAGUUAGGAACAUCUUGGAAAUACACUAUGGGGCUGGGAGCGCCCACUGCUGAGCAGAGCGCCAGCAAGAGCUGUCCCUCCAGUGCUCGUCUCCCCAGUGGCUCCCCGUCCAGACACCCUUUCUCAGCAGCGGUGGGGAGCGGGUGCGGAGCGGCCCGCGAGCCCCGUGAGCCUUGACACACCUCCUUGCCGUGGUCACAUGAAGGUUGGCAGCGUGGUGA